CGGCGGACGGGUGAGUAACACGUGGGUAACCUGCCUCAUAGAGGGGAAUAGCCUUUCGAAAGGAANAUUAAUACCGCNUAAGAUUGUAGUAUCGCAUGAUACANCANUUAAAGGAGUAAUCCGCUAUGAGAUGGACCCGCGUCGCAUUAGCUAGUUGGUGAGGUAACGGCUCACCANNGCGACGAUGCGUANCCGACCUGAGAGGGUGAUCGGCCACAUUGGGACUGAGACACGGCCCAGACUCCUACNGGAGGCAGCAGUGGG
rnacentral:rRNA from 1 species